rnacentral:sRNA from 15 species
GGUACGGCCGGACUUUUCAGACCCUGGUCUGAAAGCCCUGUGGCAGGGGCGUGCCAUACACUAACCUCAAUGUGGAGA